CCUGCCCAUAGAAAUGAUAUGUAUAUGGCUGCUGUGUCACAUGUGCAUCGGCAGAUGGCAGAGAGGAAAGAGGCUACGUCUACAUUCAAGAUGCUGACCUAUGACCUUCUGAAUAUUAGUAGCCCAACGUU